UCCUUAACAUCUUCCUUACUGCUUUCAUUUCCCUCUCUCUUGGCCCUUCUCCGCUUUCACGUGGUGAGCCCUUUGCCUGUUUGAUUAGCACUUUUGCCGCAUCAGCAUGCCCAUACCUUGCUGCAAUGUGCAACGGAGUAUCACCGUAGACAUUUACCUUUAGCAACAGUGACGGAGUAUCAUCAAGUACCUUUUUUAUAAAGUCGAUGGAUCUUUUACUUGUAGAGGUAAGGUAGAUAUGCAAUACGGUGUUUUCAUUUGGGGUCAGUAGG
rnacentral:misc_RNA from 1 species